UACGUAGGUGGCAAGCGUUGUCCGGAUUUACUGGGCGUAAAGAGCGCGCAGGCGGUCGUUCAAGUCGCGUGUGAAAGCCCCCCGGCUCAACUGGGGAGGGUCACGCGAUACUGAUCGACUCGAAGGCAGGAGAGGGAAGUGGAAUUCCCGGUGUAGUGGUGAAAUGCGUAGAUAUCGGGAGGAACACCAGUGGCGAAGGCGGGUCUCUGGGCCGAUACUGACGCUGAGGAGCGAAAGCGUGGGGAGCAAACAGG
rnacentral:rRNA from 1 species